AAUGGACGAAAAGUUAAGCCUAUAGCCUUACUUUUUUGGUGUUUUUUGGCCACUUAUGAAAAAUGGAAAAAGUCGCUAAAAAUGGACGAAAAGUUAAGCCUAUAGCCUUAAUUUUUUGCUGUUUUUUGGGCACUUAUGAAAAAUGGAAAAAAGUCGCUAGAAAUGGACGAAAAGUUAAAGGGGAAGUCAAGUCCGUUCUGCGCAUCGGUUCUGCGCAUAACAAUAGAGGGCCCUCUGAGGCAAACAUUGCCCAAAUUUUGAAUGUUUCGAAUUUUUCUGAACACAAACUCUAUUUCAUAUUCAUGUAGAAGCAUAACGAACCAAAAUGGUGUUAGAUAUUCAGACAGUACAUCAUAUUUUAAAAAAUACAGCAGUUCAAAAUGUAAACAAACCGUUUGUUUACAUUACGGACUUGACUUCCCCUUUAA